AGGUGCAUGGCCGUCGUCAGUUUCGUACUGUGAAGCAUCCUGUUAAGUCAGGCAACGAGCGAGACCCACGCCAACAGUUGCCAGCUCGUCCUCCGGGAUGGUGGGGACACUGUUGGGACCGCCUCUGCUAAAGAGGAGGAAGGAAUGGGCAACGGUAGGUCAGCAUGCCCCGAAUUAUCUGGGCUACACGCGGGCUACAAUGGGUGGGACAAUGGGUAUCGACACCGAAAGGUGAAGGCAAUCUCCUAAACCCACCCGUAGUUCGGAUUGUGGGCUGCAACUCGCCCACAUGAAGCUGGAAUCUGUAGUAAUCGUGUCUCAAAAUGGCACGGUGAAUAUGUCCCUGCUCCUU
rnacentral:rRNA from 1 species